CCUCCCAUGACCACUGGUCUCCCAUAUUAGUACCUCCACACACAUAGCAAUUAGUUACAUUAAGACUACCUGCAAUACCCUCAGCCAAAUCAAUAAAUAGGUUGUUAACAUUAUGGGGAAUUUUAUCCUCAAUACUCAUCUCCUCAUAGAAGGAAUGAGAAACCUGAUGAGUUUGAGUUGCCACUGUCUCAAUUUCAAGACCUACAUAUAUUAUUGUUCCUGGAUCUACUCCUGUGCCAUAUAUUUGGAACCCAAACAGACCUCCAAACCUGUCAAUAAAGUACUGCAGAUUGGAAAUGGUCAUGUGAACGGGGUUACACACAUAGUUUUACAGUAUGGUGUGG